rnacentral:rRNA from 1 species
CCUACGGGGGGCAGCAGUGGGGAAUAUUGGACAAUGGGCGCAAGCCUGAUCCAGCCAUGCCGCGUGUGUGAAGAAGGCCUUCGGGUUGUAAAGCACUUUCAGAAGUGAGGAAGGGUGACUGGCUAAUAUCCAGUUAUCUUGACGUUAGCUUCAGAAGAAGCACCGGCUAACUCUGUGCCAGCAGCCGCGGUAAUACAGAGGGUGCGAGCGUUAAUCGGAAUUACUGGGCGUAAAGCGCGCGUAGGUGGUUUGUUAAGUCGGAUGUGAAAGCCCAGGGCUCAACCUUGGAAUUGCACCCGAUACUGGCAGGCUAGAGUACGGUAGAGGGGUGUGGAAUUUCCUGUGUAGCGGUGAAAUGCGUAGAUAUAGGAAGGAACAUCAGUGGCGAAGGCGACACCCUGGACCGAUACUGACACUGAGGUGCGAAAGCGUGGGGAGCA